rnacentral:rRNA from 1 species
CGUUGACCCGUAAUCCGGGUUGCGGACAGUGUCUGGUGGGUAGUUUGACUGGGGCGGUCUCCUCCUAAAGAGUAACGGAGGAGCACGAAGGUUGGCUAAUCCUGGUCGGACAUCAGGAGGUUAGUGCAAUGGCAUAAGCCAGCUUGACUGCGAGCGUGACGGCGCGAGCAGGUGCGAAAGCAGGUCAUAGUGAUCCGGUGGUUCUGAAUGGAAGGGCCAUCGCUCAACGGAUAAAAGGUACUCCGGGGAUAACAGGCUGAUACCGCCCAAGAGUUCAUAUCGACGGCGGUGUUUGGCACCUCGAUGUCGGCUCAUCACAUCCUGGGGCUGAAGUAGGUCCCAAGGGUAUGGCUGUUCGCCAUUUAAAGUGGUACGCGAGCUGGGUUUAGAACGUCGUGAGACAGUUCGGUCCCUA